rnacentral:lncRNA from 1 species
CUGAGGAGUGUUCAAAAGUGUUCAAAACAUUGGCCGGUGCAGUGGCUCACACCUGUAAUGUCAGCACUUUAGGAGGCCAAGGAUUCAUU